GGUGCCUAGUUACAGGGUAAAGAGGUGUGGGUCUCUACAUUUAAUUGUAUUUUCUACUCUUCAGAAUUGCAUAUUUAUUACCGUAGGUAUAAGCAGACACAAUACUAAAAAUAAUGGGAUGUGACAUCUCCCCUUUAAAGCUUAUUUUAUGGUUUCUGUUCUGUUUUUUUUGACUCGGCAUCACGAGAAACAAGAUUCUCACAAAGUAAACCCCUUAGAUAGAGAGAAACUCUAUGAGGUCUUGCAUUCCCUUUCUUCCAGUUAUAGCCACUGGGAAGCAUUUCUGAUGUGUUAAACCAUGCGGGUUUCUGACCUUACAAAGUAUUCCCAGAAGGACGUGCACUUAUAAUGUAAACAAACUGUAUUCUAAUAGAUGUGAUAUAUAUAUAUAUUUGUGAACUGGAUCGACG